GAUGAACGCUGGCGGCGUGCCUAAUACAUGCAAGUCGAGCGAACGGACGAGAAGCUUGCUUCUCUGAUGUUAGCGGCGGACGGGUGAGUAACACGUGGAUAACCUACCUAUAAGACUGGGAUAACGUCGGGAAACCGGAGCUAAUACCGGAUAAUAUUUUGAACCGCAUGGUUCAAAAGUGAAAGACGGUCUUGCUGUCACUUAUAGAUGGAUCCGCGCUGCAUUAGCUAGUUGGUAAGGUAACGGCUUACCAAGGCAGCGAUGCAUAGCCGACCUGAGAGGGUGAUCGGCCACACUGGAACUGAGACACGGUCCAGACUCCUACGGGAGGCAGCAGUAGGGAAUCUUCCGCAAUGGGCGAAAGCCUGACGGUGCAACGCCGCGUGAGUGAUGAAGGUCUUCGGAUCGUAAAGCUCUGUUAUUAGGGAAGAACAUAUGUGUAAGUAACUGUGCACAUCUUGACGGUACCUAAUCAGAAAGCCACGGCUAACUACGUG
rnacentral:rRNA from 1 species